AAUAGCUUUUGGGCUAGCGUUUAGCGUUCCCUUUGGGGGUAGAGCACUGGAAGGUCUCGACAGGUCGAAAGAUCGCGAAACCUAUCAAACUCCGAAUACCAGAGGUUAAAAGCUAGGCAGUUAGACCGUGAGGGCUAAGCUUCACAGGUCAAAAGGGAAACAGCCCGGAUCUCUAGUUAAGGUCCCUAAAUCAUAGCUAAGUGCGCUUAAGGUGGUGAAUUUUCACAGACAGUGAGGAUGUCGGCUUAGAAGCAGCCAUCAUUCAAAGAAAGCGUAACAGCUCACUCACUAAGAGAAUUUGCGCCGAAGAUAAUCGGGGCUCAAGCUAUGUACCGAAACUGAGGACCAGCCGUACUUUCACUGUUGACGUUUGUGGAUUGUUUAGAGUUUGGUGCCGCACCUAGCUUUAGAUGACUACAAAACGCCGUUAGUGAAAGUACGGCUGGUGGUAGGAGAGUAUUCCAAUCGCAAUGAAGCCAAAGGGGUGACCCAUGGUGGAGCGUUUGGAAGUAAGAAUGUUGGCACAAGUAACCACAAUAGGGGUGAGAAACCCCUACGCCGAAAGACCAAGGUUUCCUUGGCGAUGAUUGUCAGCCAAGGGUUAGUCGGGCCUAAGCGAAUGGCGAAAGCCGCACGCGAUGGACACAUGGUUAAUAUUCCAUGACUUAUAUAACAUGCGAUGGGAGGACGG
rnacentral:rRNA from 1 species